rnacentral:rRNA from 1 species
AUGACACGAACACACAAGCAGGGGUACCGUCGCAAGUUGGAACACGAGGGGCUGGUCGGUGAUAGAUAUACAAGAAACCAACUUCAAGUAGCAAAUGUGGCAAAUCAAGGUUAUUAUGAUGCAACCACACCAGCAAAUGUCUCGUGGCAAGCUUCACUAUUGCAGGCCAUCGGUAAUGCAGAUACAACGCACCAAAUUGAAGUGGCACGGCAACUUCAAUUAGCACAUGUGGUGCAGCAAGGAGCUUCAACUACAAUCAACAGUGGCGAAGGAACAUCUGUUGCGGGAACCUCAGAGCAUAUUGAAGGAGCAUUCCAUGAGCAAGUCACCAAUGCUGCCACAAACAAUGCGGAAUCAGUGUCAGAAAUGGCAAUCGUUGCAGCAAUGCCGACAAGCACACCUAUGCACACCAGCACAAGCAACACUCAAGCAGAUGAAACAGCCACCAAUACUGAAGUAAAUGAUGAAACUGAUGACGAAGCGCAAGGGGAAGAAGAAGAUGGACAAUCGGAAAUCAUGAUACCUCAGCCACCAUAUCUUGGACAGAGAUUUGGUACUUUUGAAGAUGCCAAGGAGUACUACCAGAGAAAUGCGAUGUUCCAUGGAUUUGCGGUGAACACAGAAUACCAUAGGAAAAUUAAAAAACUAACGAGUAUAGCAGAGGUGAGAUAA